AAAAGAACUCUGAAGAGAGGGUGAAACAGCGCGUGAAACCGCCAAGGGGUAAACUGGCUGAACCGAGCGACGUGUCUGGCCGGGGCGACUAAGCCCGGAGGCUCCGGCGCUUUCGCGGGUCGUUCGUUCGAUUCGCGGGAGAGGUCGGCGUGCCGACGGUGCGUGUCUAUCCCCGGCCAGUCUCCGCCGUCACCGACACCGGGUCGUCUCGUCCCCCCGUCCUCCGAGAGUCGUCGGCUCGCGGGGUGUGGGCGGGUGCGGUACGAGAGCGGCUGCGGGUGUCGAGGUCGACCGCGGGACGAUGGUCGGUUUCGAGUCGUCCUCCGCUCACGGGUGGUGGAAGGCUCGGGACCCCGGUCCCGUCGAAGGUGUACGGCGUUAUUCCGGUACCUGCCCGACCCGUCUUGAAACACGGACCAAGGAGUCCGACGCUCGUGCGAGCCGCAGGGUUUUCACUAAACCCCACGGCGCAGUGAAAGCGAGAGGCUCUUUACGGGCCGAGGGCGAGAUCUCUUUCCUCCGCGAGGAGGGGGAGCGCAUCGCCGACCCGGCAAUCGUCGCGUUGUCGACCGUGCCGGAGUAUGAGUGCGAGCGUCGGGACCCGAUAGAUGGUGAUCUACGCCUGAGCAGAGCGAAGCCGGGGGAAACUCUGGUGGAGGCUCGAAGCGACUCUGACGUGCAAAUCGACCGCCCGACUCGGGCGUAGGGGCGAAAGACCAAUCGAACCAUCUAGUAGCUGGUUCCCUCCGAAGUUUCCCUCAGGAUAGCCGGCGCCGAUCAUCGCGAUUUUCACCCGGUAAAGCGAAUGGUUGGAGGCAUCGGGGGCGAAACGCCCUCGUCCUACUCUCAAACUUUCAACGGGUGAGGCUCCAGUCCCGCCUCAUCUCGGGGACUGGCCUAGAAUCACUGGUGCCGAGUGGGCCAUUUUUGGUAAGCAGAACUGGCGCUGCGGGAUGAACCGAACGCUCGGUUGUGGUGCCCAACGCAGGACGCUCACGGGAAAGCUAAAAGGUGUGGGUCGGUACUGACAGCAGGGCGGUGG
rnacentral:rRNA from 1 species